GGCGGCGUGGCCGAGUGGUUUAGGCAAGGGACUGCAAAUCCCUGCACAGCGGUUCGAUUCCGCUCGCCGCCUCCA
rnacentral:tRNA from 1 species